rnacentral:rRNA from 1 species
GACGAACGCUGGCGGCGUGCCUAAUACAUGCAAGUCGAGCGGACCACUUCGGUGGUCAGCGGCGGACGGGUGAGUAACACGUGGGCAACCUGCCUGUAAGACUGGGAUAACACCGGGAAACCGGUGCUAAUACCGGAUAAUCCUUUCCUUCACAUGAGGGAAAGCUGAAAGACGGUUUCGGCUGUCACUUACAGAUGGGCCCGCGGCGCAUUAGCUAGUUGGUGAGGUAACGGCUCACCAAGGCAACGAUGCGUAGCCGACCUGAGAGGGUGAUCGGCCACACUGGGACUGAGACACGGCCCAGACUCCUACGGGAGGCAGCAGUAGGGAAUCUUCCGCAAUGGACGAAAGUCUGACGGAGCAACGCCGCGUGAGCGAUGAAGGCCUUCGGGUCGUAAAGCUCUGUUGUCAGGGAAGAACAAGUACCGGAGUAACUGCCGGUACCUUGACGGUACCUGACCAGAAAGCCACGGCUAACUACGUGCCAGCCGCCGCGGUAACAC